CAUAUCUGUAUAAUGUGAUCAAUCAGUUAUCAGUACCAUCAUUAGCACCACCACAUUAAGCCACCACCAUUGACAUCAUCACUGUCAUCACUGUCAUUGAUCACCAACAUAGAUUAUCACCACUACUUCCAUCAAUCGCCAUUCUGACCAUCACUUCAUCAGGGACACCAUCACCACCAUCAUUCACCACCAUCAUCAUCACUGUCAUCAUCACCAUUGACAUCACCACUAUGACCACUAUCACUGUCAUCACCAUCACUGUCAACACCAUCAACAUUGAUCACGAUGUUCACCACCAACAUCACCAUCAUCACUAUUCUUAUUCCAACUCAGGUAGAGAGAUACAGCAAUCAUUUCAGAAAAUAGCCAGUGAACUGCAAGAACAUUACCCUGGCCACAUCUUACCAACCAAGCACCGUGAAUGGGUGAUGUACAAAUAUUCAGGAAUGACCUUAUCCAUGACCAUACUACAUGCAUCCCUGACAGAAUAUGUACUACUUUUUGGAUCUGCACUGGAUACAGAUGGCUAUUUAGGUACACAUGCCAUUCCAAUGUUGUUUUAUUGCAUUAAUUCUCAUAUUUGAUUGGUACGUUUCAGUAAGCAUUCCGGCCAGGCCAGCAGAUUGUGGGCAACUUGUACUAAAUGUAAACUACACCUUUCAAAUUGAUUUGCCUCCAAAUAUCCAAUGAGCAUUUAAAUUUCUGGGGGAGGGGUGUGUGCAAAUUUCUCUAGGUGGGGUGGGAAAACUUUCCGAGGGGAUGCAAAAUAUUUUUUUUCUUGGGGGGGGGGGUGCACACCUCCAGAAAGAAAAUCUGUCUAUGAAAUAACAUGUGAACUUUUCUGUUGCUUCUCAGGUCGGCACUGGUUAAACUGCACAAUGUUACUUCUAUCAGGGUCAGUAAAAUACUGGAAAGAAGGCGAUAUAGAAGCCAUUGAAUACAAAACUGGUGAUAGUUUUACCUUUCAUAGUGGAUCAACAGGCUGCCUAGGGUGGAAAGCAAAUACAUGGGUCUUGGAAUAUGGACGAGGGUUCCUAUCUAUGAGCAUGCCAGCGAUAAUUUCAGAUGGACUAUUCACUUCUUUUGAUGUGAUAGGAAUAUUUAAAAUGUUCCGCGCUUUUGGUGUUGCGUACUAUUAUGAACUGAAAAGCGAGAUAGGUUCCUUUAUUUCUAGUAUAUGAACAAUAAAGCAAGCAGUUCUGUUUUUGUAUUUUAUUGCUAGUAUUCUCUGCACAGGGCUGGAAAAUGUCCGGCAAAAUGUCAAUGUAAAGGUAGCUCUUUCUCCAAUCUUUCUUCUCAGUUAUUUAAAGGCUUUGAGUAGAGGUCCGACGAAGGAUUGAACCUGGGUCCUGGGUGGUGUUUCCCUCGGUCUCAGUAAAUAAGUGAUAAUUAAUACUGAGCG
rnacentral:lncRNA from 1 species